UUACAACUAUCUUAUUAUCUUGAUAAAUUGGUAAUUCUAGUAAUAAUUUUUUUUUUCCAAUAAGUAGAUCUUUAGAGAAUUCCAAUCUGACAAGUAACACAUAAUUAAUAUACGUGUUAUGUUAUAUUUCAAUUUUUCGCGCGAUUUUUGAAUGAAAAAAAUAAGCAUCAUGAGCCAGCCAAUCAGAACGUCGCUUUAUUCAAGUAGUCGCGGGACUCAUUGCGCAUCGUAGUGCGCAUUACACUGCGCAUUACACUGCGCAUUACACUGCGCAUGUCGUCAGUCUACAGUUGAAAAUUGUGUGGAGUGGACGUGUCGUCGCGAAUUGUGAUUAUCGCAGUUUAAUUGGUAGCGUUAUGGUAAUAUUCUCGAAGGCGGGAAAAAUUCCAAUAUGGACGCCAUUGGUGACUUUUUUUCGUGGUAAAAUUUUACAUUUCGUAUGUAUAAAUUUUUAUUCUGUUUUAUUGGAUUAUUAAUGAUUGUUGUUAAGCAAUUCAUAAUAAAAUUACGUUUUAGUUAGAAGAAAGUGAAAAAAUAAAAAGGCAGUAUUUUUAGAACAAAUGCUCGAUAAGAAGGAGAAGAAAAAAGAUCUUAUCAAUAUCAAAAAGAUAUUGCUUCUUCCUCUAUCAUUCCCCGUCCCUCUAUACUAAUUUAAUGUUAAUUUCAGAAAAUAUUAUAUUGUGACCACGCGCAAUGUGGUUAGUAGAAUCAGUGUUUGCUUCGUCAUAGUAUUUUGAAUAUUUUUUAGAGCACAAUAGCUCUGAUUAAAUUUUAAUUAGAAUAAUCAAACGGGAAGAUAGAGUCAGUGUUUGUUCGUCGAUUAUAAUUUAUGCGGACGCGUUAUUAGUUUCUUAUUUUUUAUUUUUUUUCUUUUUAUUUUAAAUAUUCGUUUCCGGUACAGAGUAGAGUCGGUGCUUCUCUCAAGAGAAUACGGCGAUCAUCCAUCACGCGAAGAGAUUUCUUCCAUCCUUCCAUCCAUCCUGAUGACUAUCCAACCUUCUUCUCGAUGACUUCUUGGCUACAAUAACAAUGAAGGCGUUCGCAUCGUAUGGUGAGUCGCAUGCUUUUUGGUUCCUCCGGUCACUCAAUCAUGUCGUAGGAUAAAAGAUCCGAAUCGACACGAGUGAUUGGUUGUAUACGUAGAAUUUUGCACGAGCACAAUGACCGCGGGUAUAUUAUAUUAUUAUAAAUAAAUACCCGCGAGUAGUAACAAUUAUUUCUAUUGUGUUUUAUUUAUUAGUUCAGGCUAGAGUCUUCUUACGCUUCGCGUUUUUGAUUAAUAUAAAAUGUUUGGUAAUUUUCUGAACAUAACUGGCAUAAAACGUAUAAUAAUUAUUAUUAUAUAAUUAUCAGUGUAAUACAUGUUACUGUUAAUUUGAAUUUCUAUAAUUCAAAAUUCUUCAGAGUAACAUUUUAAGUUAUUUGGUCAAUUUGAUUAUUGUGUUUGUCAUAUAAUAAUUUCAUAUAACUUCAGUAUGAUUUACAACACUGGUAGAUAGUAAAGUUCAAUUUUUACUCGUACAAAUGUGAAUUAAAUUUUGCGCAAGGAGACAUUUCGCGACAGGCAGAUUUUAGAAUCAGAGCAAUAAGUUUUGAAUAUCAUUCUUCUUGGUUUUGAAAAUAUGCUCUGAUGAAGGAAUCGUCUGAGGGUAUUUCUAUUAAUAUUUUAUAUUAAAUUACAAUGAAUUCUAAAUUCCUUUUUCAAUUCAAUAUUAAAAAUUUAAUAUGCUAAAAAUUCAAGAACUUGUUUAAUUAAUGAUACGAAAUAUAAAAUAGAGUCACACAAAAUUUGAAACAUGAUAAUAAAAAUUUGAAAUAUAUAAUAUAAUUUAUAUAAUUGUAUAAUUUGAAAUAUAUAAUACAAAGUCAAAGAAUAUUAGCCCGUUAGAUACAAAAUGAAUAUAUUAAUAUCUUUUUAGCUCAGGAUUUUCAGGUUUAACCCUUUCCAUGUUCAUUGCCAGGAAUUCACUCACGUGCCCAGGUGUUACUUGAGUGAAGGAGAGGCAAUGGGUAUGAUGACCUAGUUCAUAAGUUAAUACAAAUUUUUUAGCGACUGACGAUGCGUUAGUGUAUCGUGCACGACGUACUUUCCACAUUGUGUGUGUGUGUGUGGUUAGGCUGUGGAAUUGCGUCGUUUCAAUUAUUAUUUCUUUCACUAUUCAAUCGCAAUUUACAAUCAUACUCGUAAUAAAAUAUUGCGAAUAAGUAAUAAAUAGUAAGAUUACUAAUCUUUAGUAUCAAAUUACAAUAUCAUAAUUGUACAAUUUUGGUUGAGAAUAAUGGUUAUAAUAAUGGUACCGUUUAGUCUGGUGACUAGUAUUUUGGAAAACGUUACGUAUUCAUAAAUAUUCACAAUUAAAAUGUAAAUACACGUGUUUUGUCGCGUUUCACGCAAUGGUCGCUAGCCAUCGUCAGUCGAUUUCAGGAAAAGGUACGUAAAGUUAGAGUGUGCGAGUAGUGUGCCAAGCUCGGGUGUCGGAGGCGUCCCGGGACGCUUUCCCUAGUGUAGGCUUUUGCGCCCGGGUGUUAUGUGUGAGAAUCGUGGAAUGAGUGUGUUGGUAUGCCUGUUUUGCCAUAUUUUUUAAAUAUAGGGCUAGGUAGGAUAGGUAGUAUACUUCUGGUGUGUCUGUUUAAUUAUAAGUAGGUAGGGCCGGGCAGGUUGUCACAGUCUCUGAUCGGGUAGGCGCGUUUUCGCGUGACAACUUGUUUCAGGGAAUAAAAUUUGAGAAAUCGAGGGCGAAACUGAGACGAAUGGAUGACAAUGCCAUUCGUCUCUGGUUUUGCUCAUCGAGUUUUCGAAUUUCGCGGUCGCGGUCGUGAUUUGCUUUCGAAACGAACGUUGCGCUCGAGAUUCUGUGCAUGUACGGAGAACGAUCAUUGCAAUUGUUGGUCGUCCAUGUGCAUUUAGCUUCCGCGAUUUAGUCCUUUUUUUUCUU